rnacentral:rRNA from 1 species
CCUACGGGAGGCAGCAGUGGGGGAUAUUGGACAAUGGGGGGAACCCUGAUCCAGCGACGCCGCGUGAGUGAAGAAGUCUUUCGGUAUGUAAAGCUCUGUUCGCAGGGAAGAAACAAAUGACGGUACCUGACCAAGAAGCCCCGGCUAACUACGUGCCAGCAGCCGCGGUAAUACGUAGGGGGCAAGCGUUAUCCGGAUUUACUGGGGGUAAAGGGGGCGUAGACGGUUAAGUAAGUCUGGAGUGAAAGGCAGGGGCCCAACCCCGGGACUGCUAUUGAAACUAUUGCACUUGAGUGCAGGAGAGGUAGGCGGAAUUCCUAGUGUAGCGGUGAAAUGCGUAGAUAUUAGGAGGAACACCAGUGGCGAAGGCGGCUUACUGGACUGUAACUGACGUUGAGGCUCGAAAGCGUGGGGAGCAAACAGGAUUAGAUACCCUGGUAGUC